CGGGGCGUGGCGCAGUCUGGUAGCGCACUUGACUGGGGGUCAAGGGGUCGGAGGUUCAAAUCCUCUCGCCCCGACCA
rnacentral:tRNA from 3 species